CUUCAUUUCCCAGUGUGGAUGCAGCCUGAGAUGACCCUGUUUUCCAUCCCUUUCCAGGACGCCCAAAGAGGGGAACCCUGACGACACGGUGGUGGAGAUGAAGACGGACAGACGGAACGAACAGACGGGGCUCCUGAGCCACGGAGGGGGAGGCGGUGGUGGUGGAGGCACCAACGAGUGCUGAGAACAGAAGAACUUUUCUCUCUCUCUUCUUUCUCUCUCCUUUCCGUUCGGCGCCGGACCCAACGUCCAUCUUGGAGGAAGAAGACGACGACGAUGCCAAAACGGGGAACGGUGGCCAAGCCCUCUUUGGCUUCCUCCUCGGGCGCAAACUCAGCGUCCGCACAUCCAGACUUUGGGUGCUGGAGGGCAGGGUUCGGAGCCGCCUCCCUCCUCUUAAAAAUGCCAGAUGAA